GACGAACCGAGCGAACGUUAUUCGGAAUCACUGGGCUUAAAGGGCGCGUAGGCGGGCCAUCAAGUCAGGGGUGAAAGCCCCCAGCUCAACUGGGGAAGUGCCUCUGAUACUGGUGGCCUCGAGGGAGGUAGGGGCGUGCGGAACUUCCGGUGGAGCGGUGAAAUGCGUAGAUAUCGGGAGGAACACCUGUGGCGAAAGCGGCUCACUGGACCACAACUGACGCUGAGGCGCGAAAGCUAGGGGAGCAAACAGG
rnacentral:rRNA from 1 species